rnacentral:rRNA from 1 species
CCUACGGGAGGCAGCAGUGAGGAAUAUUGGUCAAUGGGCGCGAGCCUGAACCAGCCAAGUAGCGUGAAGGAUGACUGCCCUACGGGUUGUAAACUUCUUUUAUAAAGGAAUAAAGUGAGGCACGUGUGCCUUUUUGUAUGUACUUUAUGAAUAAGGAUCGGCUAACUCCGUGCCAGCAGCCGCGGUAAUACGGAGGAUCCGAGCGUUAUCCGGAUUUAUUGGGUUUAAAGGGAGCGUAGAUGGGUUGUUAAGUCAGUUGUGAAAGUUUGGGGCUCAACCGUAAAAUUGCAAUUGAUACUGGCAGCCUUGAGUACAGUUGAGGUAGGCGGAAUUCGGGGUGUAGCGGUGAAAUGCUUAGAUAUCACGAAGAACCCCGAUUGCGAAGGCAGCUUACUAAACUGUGACUGACAUUGAUGCUCGAAAGUGUGGGUAUCAAACAGGAUUAGAUACCCGAGUAGUC